CUGACGGAACUGGAGACUGAAAUCCCCUGGUUACCCACAGCACAGGUGCAGCUGUGGCUCCAUACUGCUGCCUGCCAAUGUGCCUCAACUCUGACACAAAGGGACCGUCUCUAGGGGGGAAAGGGGAGCUCAUACGCCAUGUCCAGUCAGUCCUUGCUGAGA
rnacentral:sRNA from 1 species